GGGGCCACCAGCAAACCUUGAGAUGUGUCACUUCAGACAAGAUAAGAGUUCUGAUGGGAGCUGCGCACCACAGCAGCACUCGGUCGUGCUUAUCUCCAGUUGUCUGCUGGUAAAUGGCCAAAUCACAGGGAUUUUUGUCUUCACCUACAUCAUCCUUAAGCCCGACGGGGCAACAACUCUCGGAUCAAAGGGUUUAGUCAUUAUACUUUUCGCUGACAGGAAGCUGGCUAUUUCAGCUUUGUUACACCGGCAGCAUCAUUAGGCAACAAUACUGAACGCAGAGAACAAUGUCAGAAAAUGAAGACCUGCACAAUAAUAUUUACACAGAAGUUGAAACAAUCUCAUUGUAUUUGUGGAAAUGGAACUUCUAAUGAUUGACUUGAACAAUUUUCUUUUGCAUUUCAAGGGUGAAAUGGCUAUUCUGAUAAUUAUUUCUAACACCAAUUAUUAUUUCAAAACAGAGAAAUGUAGACAUUAAUUAAAAUAGCUAGAACCCUUUCAUUAAAUAAAAGAAAACCCCCACAUGCUCACUGAGAUAACUUUAAACUGACAAAAGUAAUAAGUAGAAAGUGACUGAAAAUGAAGUGAAGUGAAGAUCAGAUUUUGCUUUUGAAUAAUGGCUCAACAAAGUAAUCAUAAAAAAUUCAACUGAAACAUACGUGGACAAAAACAGUGGUAUCCCUAAAACUGCCUGAAGCUACUUUGACCAUAAGGACAUGUUAGGCUAACAUACAUCCUGUAUUCAGUCAGUCUGUUUAAAGGCCAUGACUACCAAUAGUAAUUUGAUGACAGCUGGCAAAAAAGCUCUACAGUUGUUUAAAGUUGUCGCAGUAUCCAAGUUUUAUCACAGGAUGUAAUUUUUACUUCAUUUCUACACAAUGCACCUUUAAAACACAAGGAAUAAAGAGACAGUCACAGCGCUGUUUGGCAGCAGGGUGUGCACCACACUGAAAAUGGACCAUCAACGUCUCGGGAGAUUAGAAAGACAGUUAUUGUCACUGAAAGGAAAGGGUUGAAAGAUUGUGUUUAAGCAGUUUGAUGUUCUGGAGACAUAUAUUUCAGAAGGUAGGGAGACAAAUUCCAUGGAUGAGUCCAUAACACAAAAACCGAUGACACAUUACAGAUUCUAAAAAGACAUAUUGUAACCAAAGAGCCUAACUUUUAAAGAGGUUAGAGGUCAACUCCGAGGUUAAAGCUGUUGUCCAUGGUGUGACAUCAUCAAGGAGAGGAGGAGGAAGAGGAGGUGAUUUAGAAAUUUGAACAGCUGUAGCUCCCACCUCCUCUUCUGGAAGGAGCUGAAAGCCAUCCCUGCAGGGCAAGCGGGAUCAACAAAGAGAGCUUAUAAUAAAGGUCUGAUGCAGCCCAAGACUGAACCAGGAGUGGUCUAGGAUUCCGUUUCAUUCCCCUUCCUCUUCUUCCACAUCUAACUUGAGGUUUACAGCCCAACAUUAAUUCAGAGCAAAGUAGAGUUAGCCAAAAGUCUGUUGGUCCUUCACUAUAAGUUCCGGUUGCUAUCGACCACAUGCAGAUGAUUGCUAAGGUGCAGGACCAAAAGACAGAAGAAAUCUUUUAUCUCUACAGUGUGAUUUUUUUUGUAGCAUGCAUGUUGUAACCACUACUGGUCUGAAACCAGUUGACCCUAGGGGGUAAUAAAGAACCUCGAUCUUGAUCAAAAUGCAUGUUGACAAGCUGCAAAGCAUCUAGAACAAUGUCCUUUGGCCAGAUGAGACCAAACUGAAGCAUUUUGGCAAAUCACAUCAUAUCAAGCACACUGAGAACUGCAAACUGGUGGCGCAUCAGUGUUAUACUGAGAGGGUCGUAAUGAAAAAGAACUUCCUCCAAAUUCUUUAACAUCACUUGAAAUAAGCAGCGAGAUGGUGGAACAUUGGACACAGUUAAGAGUUCCAACAGGGCAAUGGUCACAGGAUGAUGACCUCAAACACACAUCAGAACAGAUUACAUUAGCUUCUGAAAUAUAAAUAUAAAAAUAACAGCAAACAGGAACAUUUGGUCAGGGUCAAACUUGCUAAGAAACAUGUAACCAAAUAGUGGUGACAAUGUAUGAGAAUUCCACCUUAGAAAAUUGCUAAAAGUUCACAAUUUAAUAUACUGUAUAAAUGGUAAAUGGCCUGUAUUUGUAUAAAGUCUUCUUAGGAUUAUACAACCCCACAAGGCACUUUACAACACAAUCAGUCAUCCACCCAUUUAAUACAUUUACACGCUGGUGGGGAUGAGCUACAAUGUAGUUACAGCUGCCCUGGGGCGUACUGACAGAGAUGAGGCCUUCUGAACACUGGCAACACCGGACCCUCCAACCACCAGGAGGAAAGGUUGGUUAAAUAGCUCAGAAGGUAGAGCGGGUUGUCCAGUUUUUAAUAUAUAUAUUGUCAGGCAGAGUGGUGGUAGCAGCAUGGUGUGGUACUGGUUCAUUGAAAAAGGAGGAGAGCUACCUCCCAAUUUAUAAAGUUCAUCUGAAAUCAUCAGCUGAAUGGUUCAAAGUUGGACACAUGGCUAUUCCAACAGGACAAGGACUCCAAAUAGUCCUGGUUUCCAAUUAGUAAAAGUAAACCAACAAUACGUUUCUACCUCAACCUCAGCCCCACUAUAACCCCAAAAUUCCACUAUCUCCGCUCCGCCCCCGCUUUCUGCCGCUGCUCGCUUCCGAACUCAAAUUAUACUAUACCCGCUCUACAACGGCUCCACUCCGGUGCAGAGACCUGAGGUGCGCAAAGAGACAUGCGUGGGAUUUUCGAGACCUCGCGAUACAGUCUGAGGAAUAAAUGCGGAAGUUAGAUCCAAACAAAUCAUUGUGUGGAAGAAGCAUCGAAAAGAACUUGUAGGAGCCAUAUGUGUUGUUUUCAUUUUCUUUCUGCAUAACUGAGAGGAGGCUUGGCAUCAUUUGAUUGGUAAAUUGAUUGUGGAAGGACCAGCCUACUUAAGCCAACGCAGAUUAGACUCGUGGUGGCUGUGACGGGACAAGCAGUUUUUACUGUGUGGCGAGGACUGUGGCUGUGUGUAACGGACUCUGCGGACUGUCAUGGGGCAAGUAACGUAUUCAUUGAAAACCACCUUAACUGCAGUGAAUGGAUCAUGGACUUUGUGGAAGAAGACAAAUUAAGAAACAUCAUCAGAAAUAAACACAAGCUGCAAUUCUUUUAAACACACUUAAAGACUACCAACCGUCUCAGUAACCAGUAGUGCCAAUGUAUAGGGCAUUGGUAUUAUAGGGUAUUAUAGUAUAGGGCAUUACAGAACUGUUUAAUCUGCCUAUCAUUUGUGUUAAGAUAUCAGCAGUGUUUGGAUCAACAAUGGGUGAGUACUUUGAUAGUAGAAACUGUAUUUAUGCCUUAUAUUUGUGCAUUUAAAGUUCAACCGCCAAAAAAGUAGUUAAACCUGUGCAUAUGAAACAAAAAAACGCUUUUUGUUUAUCAAUUUAUUGUGAAAUAACGGAAGUUAUGCUUGCUCCCUUUCCUGUUGGGCGGUUGUGAUUUCUGUCCACUAACUGCGGAGGUGCUCCGGUGUCUGGAAAAAAUAGAAUUGAUCCUGUUUUUGCCGGAUGGCGGAACGACGGGCGGUGCACUGCGCCGCACGGCCGCAGUAGUGGAACAGCUCUGACUGACUACAAAGGGACCGUUUUUGCUGCGGAGUUCGUGCCGGAGCGGAGCGGAGAUAGUGGAAUUUUGGGGUAAGAAGAGACCAUACCCCCAAAAAACCCAGUCAAUUCAUUAAAUCAAACUAUUUCAAAGUCUCCACAUGAAUUAUGCAUUCAUGUCUACAAUAAUGGUAUGUAAACAGACUGCAACUAAAACUCCAGUGGAUUAAACUGAAGGAGAAAACUACCUAAAAAUGAAAACUACAAAAUAAAUGUUUAAAAAAGUAUUCAGCUGACAUGAAAACAGUUGAAAAGUUAUGAAUGAUAGCUUCUAGGCUCACAGAUUUCUAAGAAUGCACAUAAACAUGUCUGAGUGUUUUCUCUCUCCACUCCUGCGGGGUGGUGGUGGGUUUGAGUUUGCAGGGUAAUUAGUUAAGUUGAAUCCACCCUCUAAUUUAGCCCCAGCCUAUCCCACUCUCCUCAGCAGUAAAGUUUACAUUUGGUAAUGAGUCAUGAGUCUUGUGCUAUUAAAAGAAGGUUUUGCUGACAUCUCUAUAAGCCUAAGAUAAGCUGAGCCUAAAUCAAGAAAAAUGCAAACCAAGCACUUUUCAGUCCAAGGAAAUCUUAGCAGGAGAAGCUUUCAGUGGAAGAUAACAGCAGGUGUAUUUGCCUUUGCAUUACCCAUGAAACACUGUGGCAUUUCUUACAGUCAAAUGACUUUUAGUCAGAGUCUUGUGAAAAAUUAUUGGAUCAGGGUGCUAUCAUGUUGAUGCUCUGAGCAAAAGACAGAAAAAUGUUUAAUAAUCAAACUCAUUAAAUGACAAAUUUGCUCAAGCUGGUUAGUUUUUCUGCUUUUAAUGGACCCCACAAGAAGUUAACUCAAAGUUAAAAGUGAAUGUUACCAUUUUUUCCCAACUAUUGGUAAUAAAUAUACUCUAGAGAUAAAAGUCCACCAGAAAAUCUUGUAUCCUUCAGAAGAAAAUCCAUAAUUCGUUGCUCUCAGAUGUUACUUUCUCCACAGAUUGAACACACUUUAUAAAUUGACCUGACACUGCCUGACUUUAUCGACUAGCAGUACAUGUGCUGCAGAGAGGUGAGGCCCAGGGUCCUGCAGUGACAUUCAGCAUCUUCUGGUGACUACGAUUAUUUAUCUUUGUCACAUCUUUUUCUUGUAAACAGGCAAUUAAUGGGGAAGGCACAAAGUUGACUCAGUACAGUGAUUCAGGGAGGUGUGAGUGCAAGAUGAAGAGUAUUUGUCUCCACCGUUAGUCACCAAUGUUAAAUACGCUGUGAAAAGCAGUUAUAUGAGUGGUGUCUAAAGGCUUGCCUCACCAUUAAAAUUAUUUAUUCAUUUAGUUUUGUUUAAGGAGUUGUUUCAUUGUGUAUAAUUUUCUUAGGAAGCAGCCAUUUUUCUGUUUUAUUGUUGUUUUGGCCUGUGUCUGUGCCUGUUAGCAAAAAUAACCUGGACCAGUCUUUAAUUAAAGUAUUUAUUGGAUAAACACUAACUUUCAGAGCCAAUCCGGUUCAAGAUGGCUUCCACAGCUGAUCACCAUUAGAAAACAGAAAUUGCUAUAUAUUUACAGAUAUUGGGCUAAUAUCUAAUGUGUCAAUAGUUGAUUGGAAAAACAAAAUAUUAUGAUAAUUUAAAAAAAAUCAAAAAUUGCAUAUUAUUUGACGGUGCCUUUUAAAGCCAGCUAACAAAACAUGCCAUAGAUCAAUUGAAAUACUGUAAAAUCAUUCAUAUGGAGACAGAAAGAAUCAGACAUUUAAAACUGAUUAUGGAUUCUAAAGGCAGACAUGGAGGAACAGGAGUGAUGUGUUCUCUGAAUGAAGUAAGAGUGAUGACCCGUGCUGCGGCAAUCUGAAGGAGCUGCAGUAAGUGAAGAGAUGUGUGAGGGAGACUGAAGAGAAGAAAGUUCCAGUAGUCCAUUUGAGAGGAGACGAUGCUGCGGCCAAGGAUGUGUUGAGGGUUUGCCCUCAUGGGAAAAUUACUAUGCAGUAAUUUCUCCAAAAGACUGUGCCAAAAUUGCCCUGGAGCAUCUGCCCUCAUGAGGAAAUUACUAUGCAGUAAUUUCUCCAAAAGACUGUCAUCUGCGCUCUGAAGAGCAUAUUUAAACAUCAGCACCAGCUACAACUUCAUUUCCCAGGAUUCCCUGCUCCCGGAAGCGGCGCCGAAUAUCCAAAAACAAGUAAUGCGCAUGUGCGGGAGCCACACAGUUUCAGCCCGACAGCUGGAAGCUAUAAAUUCCAGCGAAACAAAACUUAAAACCGUUCUUUUGUUCCAGUUCGAAUGGCGCGAGGACACGUUUGUUGCUACAGCUCCGGACUCAGGCACGAGGCCUGGCUGGAAAACAGUGGAAAACCAUCAAAUCAACGGAGAAACCAUCUGACCUGCAGCGCGAACACAAAAGGGACGCCUUGGGGAUCGCUCACGCAAGCUUUAGUUUUUUCCUCUAUUUCUCUUUCUUCCGCUCCUCUUAAUAUAAUUCAAAAUAAGCAGUCACACCGCGCGACUUGCUUCAAAAUAGAAACGGUCUCUCUUCCGUACCAAAAACGCCAUCGGAUCGUUUUGAGAGUAAGUCGUUUUGUUCAAUCAUUGUUUAUAUCUUAGUUUAUGCUGUGGCCAGGCUGACAAACUAUCAGAUAUUCAUUCAUGAUUGAUCUUUUAUGUUGUUUAUUAAUUUUUUUAACCUUUGAAGUGUUUAAGUUACUGUGAUUGAGUCUAAAGUGCAAGCUAAUCCCUUUUGUGUCUGUAUCUGAGAAGGAAAGUCACACACACACACACACCGGUUCUCAGUGUGGUGGGGAGAGAGAGAGGAAAAAAAGUCACAGCUCACACAUACCUUCAGCAUCACCUCACUGCUGAAAGUCCACACACACACACACACACACACACACACACACACACACACACACACACACACACACACACACACACACACUUGUUUUUAGUGUUUGGGGGGACUCAAGCUAAAACACACAUCCAUUGGGUCAGAUUAUUUUACAGUCUCAUUAUUCCAUUGUUGAUCCAUUGUUAUUUGUUUGAUAAAAUAAGUUGGUUGAUAUUGAUUGGCUAAACACUUCAGAAGGAGCUGAAGUGAUUAUUAGUUAAUAAAUGUUAUUCAAUUAAGUUUUGUCUUCAAGUGGAUUUGUUUGUGAUAUAAAAUUCAACUGCUCGUUAAGAUUCACGGAACGUUCAGACAGAAUUGAUAAGAGGUUUGGAUUCAUUUCCCCUGUUAGAAGGGGUGGUGCCCCGUGGAUAUCUCUGGAUAUCCUAAUUAAUUAAUAAAUCUGUAAAUAUUUCCAUAUUUACAAAUUUAUUGAAGAAUCCAAAAAGUAAGUAAAAGCUUACAAAUUAUUCGUUGACCAAUAUCCCAGCAGAUGGCAGCAGUGUGGGGGGUGAGAAAGGGGCGGGGUCGAGUAAUCUUGCAUGGAAGAAAGUAUGUAGACAGGGUAGGAGUUUAAGUACACCCAGACUCAUGAAGGGUGAUCAAUGUUAAUGGACACAUUGUGUGAUUUGUGUUAAGUGGAGGUCUUUCUUAUAAGGAGAAUUCCAAUUUUGUUACAGUUUUGUUUGAAAAAAGUGGACGAGAAUUAUGAUAUAUAGAACAUUUGCAUAACUGUGAAAAUGUAUGCUGUAUUUCUGAAAAAUUUAGCCAAGUGGAAACAUGUAGAUGAUAAAUAGAUGAGACAGUAGAAUAGAGCCUUGGGGUACACCAGCAGAGAGAAGCAAACAAACCAGGAACAGGAUAACUAGACUAAAGAAAUAUUUCACAUUGUCUAUAAUGUUUUACUUGCUUAAUUUUUGAUAUUUUGAUUUCUUGUUUUCAAUACAGUAUUUGAUCAUUUUACAUGUCAGUGGCUCAAGUAUGUUUGUUUAAUUAAAUGUACAGGGUCAUUGUUCAUGCAAGUACAGUAAAGACAUUUCUUAUUAGUUCCACCCUUUUUGCACUCACCAAUAGUCUCACAGUUGAAAUUGGUGUUUGAUUCAAUUACUAUUUAUUCACCUGUUAGGAUAUUUACAAUUAGAUAAAUAUUGAAUAGUAAAGCCUUCUUUUUGCAGAACUGUGCAAAACUUUGUUUUACACUUUGCAAUUAAAUUAUACUUUUGCCAGUAGAUUUAACUCUAUCUGUCUGUCUGACACCAAAAUAUCUCAUGAACUACAUGGUGGAUUUCAAAGAAACUAAGAUAGUCAACUGGACUUCCACAACUGAUUAACUUUUGCAGUUAACCAAAUUCAUUAUGGCCACUAGGAGUUUUUAACCAUAGCUAUUACAAAAAUACCUAUAACUCAGCCAAUAGUACAGUUUUUGAACUCCUACUAGAGUAUUUUAGCAUCAUUCCCAUCACAUACACUUAUUAUUAAACACCAGAUCUUUGAUUGAAACUUUCAAAGUGAACCUUAUCAUGUGUUAACAAUUAAUUGCAUAAACCACUGGGCAAAUUUUAAUGAAUUUAUCAGAGAGUUACCAUUGCAUAUACAUCUACAACUAGGUAAUUAUUUAAAUCAACCCAUUUCAAAAUGUCAGCCGCAGCUUAUAGGCCAUAGCAAAUUUCAAAAUGACUACAAUUUAUUCAUCUUUACAGUAGGGCUGCAAUGAUUCAUCGACGUUGUCGACAAAUAUCGACAAUAGAAAUAGUCCAAAAUGAAUUUCAUUGUCGACGUUGUCGCCAGACAUGUUGUUUCCGACCGAGUGAGGCAUCUCACUUCAUUACAAUCUGCCGAGAGUUGCACAUGCACAAUAGCUUCUCUGCUGAGCGUCAACAAACAGAAAUGGUGGCGUCCAACACAGCAGCUACGCGUACCAAAACACCUAAAGUUUGGGAGCAUUUUAGCCUGGAUUCUGCAAAUAAAAGGUUUACCUGCAUUAUUUGCAAAGCAGUCCUUGCGUAUCACGGCAGCACCUCGGUGAUGCAUGAACACUUAAAGAGAAAGCACAUCGGACAGUUGAAUGAAACAGUCUGACUCACCUCGGUAAGAUUUAAAUAACACGAAAGCCAAUAUGUUUUGUUUUGGAUAUACAUUGUACAUUUUUUAAGCAUAUUUUCGCUUUUAAAAAAGAGAAAUUUAAUGUUAUGCCUGACUGCGCCUGACAAAACUAUUUUUAUUUUAUUUAUGCAUUUAUGUCCGUACUGACUGAGCGCUGUGCCUAAUUGGUGUUAGACAGGGCAUUUUUAUUUACUGUUGGUAUGAAUUGGCCUAUCAGCAGCAAAGUUCAAUAAAAAUAUGCAUUUUCCAUUGAAGUACCCAUCUUUCUUGUGUUUAUUAUCAUUUUUCACAUAAUUAAAGCAAUCUCAUGCUAAAUUCAAGAAAAAAUUAAUAAUUAUCCAAUUAGUCGACUAAUCGUUUCAAUAGUCGGUGACUAAUCGACUAUUAAAAUAGUCGUUAGUUGCAGCCCUACUUUACAGACACUGAGCUGGAAUCUUAUGUGGUAGCAGUUUGGAGUCAUCUACAACAUAAAUUCUUAAUAUUAACAGAUUACAACUGAUCUAGCAACAAUGGCUGCUAACUUUGACUAAUUGAUUUCUGCCAUUCUCAGUUUUCUGUUUUUACUUCAGCAGGCAGCCAUUUGUAGUCCUAGCUGCCCAGACUCACACAGCAGGCAGACACGUUAGCUACCAGUUAAUGAGCAUGCGAUGUCUCCCUCCAGAGUCAGUAGAGAAACUAAAAUAAUGUUUAAUGAAGCAUGACUGGUAGAUUUGUCAGGAUGUACCAAAGAAACACAAACCCAAAUGGAUGCAAAUUGGCUUCCGAGGACUGGCACAGCCCCAAAAAAAUCUGCUACACCAAAUGCCGCUGGAUGUCUACAUGUUCUGUGUUAAUGCUCUCUAAGUUUACGACGUGUGUAGUUGUAGCACAUGGAUUCAGUGUUACUGAAGGAUGCGCUGGCUGAAUGUCACCACGUGGGAUAAAAGAUUAAACACAGUAUUACUGACAGCAGGGUAACUUUUCUGUUGAGUUCCUGCUGGUUCCAGCAGCACUGACUGAUCUGCAGAGAGGUGAGUGAUAAAAGGAUUUUCGAAGCUCAAUAGAGGAUCACAUCAUCCGCAGACAGUUCUGAUAAGGUUUUGAGAUCAAGUGUGGCUCUUUCAGUGGAAUGAUGCAACAGAAUCGCAGUUUACUCACCUGUGACUCUAUCACGCUGUUUAAUGCAAAAAUAUACUCAAUGUUUGGCUUUCAUGAUGUAAGAUUUGAUGCCUUUUAACUGAUUUAUUCGUAAUAAUGAUUUAAAAGGAAUAAAAAAUGCUUGAACUGCUUGUUUGUGUUAUACAUAGAACGUUGUGUCAGAGCGUUAAAACUCAGUGUGUGUGUAACACUGUUCAGGUCAAAGACAUUUUAAUAAAGGGACUUUCUUUUUCUCAGAGAGGAAUACAUUAAAAUCAUUUUGUUUUUAAAAAACAAACCAGCCCACAUCUUUUAGAGGGUGGAAGGAAAUUUAUUCAAAGCUUACAAAAAACAUUAGCAUUAAACAUUCAGUAACAUUAUUCCAAAUGUGAAUGUAGGCUAUAUUUAAAAAAAUCCAAUGCCUCUUCACUUAUUAUGCUUUCUUAAAAUGAUUUAAAAUACAGGUCUUUGAUUGCAUAAUGCAUAAGCCAAAGAAAUCCAAUCUCAACCCGUCUCUCCAUAACAGCUUCAGACUAAUCUCCACGUUUCCCUUAAUUUUUAAGAUCUUUGAAAAGGUUGUGAUUAAACAACUCACAAUAAAUAUGAACAUAACAUCUACUGAAGUUUUCAGUCAGGUUUUCGUAGAGCUCAUCCUACUGAAACAGCUCUUCUUAGGGUCUCUAAUGACCUUCUGACUCACAGUGAUGCAGGGGACUGUUCUGUUCUGGUCCUGCUGGACCUGACGGCAGCCUUUGACACUGUUGACCAUCACCUGCUAUUGGAGAGGCUGAGAGACUGGGUAGGCAGAACAAAAGUGCCCUCUAGUGGCUUUUAGAUGCAAACAUAAUCACAGUGUCGUGCCCGACAGAAUAAAAAUGUGAUCAUCUAUCUUUUGAAAUAAAGCUUUUAAAGGAGCAACUCUACAUUCAUUCUGCACACCUCUGAACGCCUCGUAGAGGUAUAAUUAUUUUUAAAUAGCUUUUUAUUCAAAUGUUCCACACUAACUUUCAAUGAGGAUUUUCUCACUUCUGGUGCCAGCUCCUGGUGGAUGAGGGUGGCCUGCAAUUUUUGCGACAUCUAUGUUGCCUUCCAAAAAUUCCCAGGAUUGUGGGAGGUAGGUUGUAACAGAAAAAUGGUGAGAUGUAUUUGUCUGACCAACUGUAAUUAUAAAACAUACUUUUUGUAUUUGGCAAAAAGGAUAAAUAAAUAAAUCAGCUAUAAACAUUACUAUUUGUGGUUGUUUGCAAUAAGAAGCAUGUAAAAUUUGGCAUAUUUCUCUCAUUGUGCAAACUAGCUAGGAGAGCAGAGUGAGGCAGGAGGUGGCUGAAGCCAAAACAUACAAACCUGUUGUUCCUCCAAGCCCAGCAGACCUAAUCUCACCCUGAACCUUGAAAACUUGAGAGCUCUGGUAAUCCUGUCCGACAGGCUGGAGGCUGCACUGGAAGUGCUACAGCUAGCUGAUGCAAAGUUUUUGGAAUAUUUUGUUCGUCAUUUUCCCUUUAAAUAUUUACAAAGACAGUUCUGCACAAGAAUUCCAAUGGGCUGGAUGGUAGGUUUCAUGAAAAUAUGGAAAAUAAAAGAUCUCAAACCUUGAAAUAAACAAUAACAGCAGCAGUGGCGGCUGGCCAGUAGAGGGCGAUAGGGUGCCGCCCUCCCAGUUUCCCCUGUGUUUUUAAUUUUUAUUUAAAAAAAUAAAUAAAUAAAAUUAACAAUAAUCACAUAUUCUAAGUUAAUUGUGUGUUUUGUAACAAAAAUAAAUCAUAAAUAUAUAUCUAUAUUGGUCUCUGCCGCUCUCUGCCGAGUGGUGGAGGCUGUGUGCUGUUUUUCAAUCGCCCAAACAAGACGGGACCAGUUGUCCAAUUGCUGACAAGAAAAUCAAAGGGUAGGAAUGGGAAUGUAUCCAAUCAGCGUCAACGUUGUUUCUGAACGUUUCAGAAGCAUGAUGGGCGAUAGAACUACCGCCAAGGCUUUCGUUGGUGUUCGGUAGAACUCGGAGAGUCUCGACUCCAGCACGUUUUUGGUCGUGACUCGUGACGGUCAUGACGCAGACGUAGACAUGGACGCCAGUGCGCCUACAACAUGGAUACCGGAUCUCAGCAGCCACUGAAUUCAGUUUGGUCUCUUCUCCAGUAUCCGUUCGAGAGGAGAACUAUGGUGGAAAAACUUAAUGUCAAAGAGCUUGGACCAGAUCAGCCCGGCAUAAAGAUAAGCCAGCAGGACAAGGAGAAGGAAGGUGGAUGUGGAACUUGUGUCUCAUUGGGGACUCCAUUCAUUCUCUGACUGAGGAAUGCAGCGCAUCAGUGCAGCAGCCAACAAAGAAACGGAGGACGUUUGGACAGGGAGAACAGCAGUUGGGUGCAGAGGUAAGCUGUACAUUACAUUUCUGUAAACAAGACAAUCAGAAUCAGAAAUCCUUGGUUGUCCCACAAACCGGGACAUUUGUUUAAUAACAUGUACAUUGUUUAAUGUGCAAUAACUGUAAAAACUAAUUUCAACACACAUACCUAUUAUACAUAUUUAAUCAUGUAAAUGUGUAUUUCAAGUAAAUUUGUACAUACAUCAAUCUGAUUCCAUUUUACUUGUUACACUUCUGCUGCAGCAAACACAUUUCCCAGCUUUUGGGACAAUAAAACAUUUCUGAUUCUCAAUGAGAUGUUUUUACAUUUGAAGUAAAAACAUCUCAUUGAGAACCAGAAAUGUUUUAUUGUCCCAAAAAGUGGGAAAUAUGACAUUUGUAAGAGGAUACUGAUGACAAUAUUUCCUAUGAAAGUGUUUCCACUUUCCAUAAGUCCUAACAGUGUAAAUUUCUGGCAUUUUGUCUAAGUAGUGUUUACUACCAUUACUGUAACAGUGACCUGCUCAUAAUUUUUCGUGUUCACUCAAAUGUUGAAAUUAAACAAAAUGUUUUUGCUACUUGCAUCUUUCAUUGCCUAUUUACCAUUUAUGGUCAUGUUAUUUUAUGUGCAAUUUAAUGCAGUAUUUUUCAACCUUGGUCCGCAAGGCAGCGUGCCAAUAGUCAGACACACCUGGAUUAAUCAGUUUGUCCAAUAAUGUAAGACAGGAAAUAAAAGAGCUGUGCUUAAUUCAGGAAAUAGUGAAGUUGUGCACAAAGCUCAGAAAGCACAAGUUUGUUUAAAAAAAAUAGCACAGCCCCACCAAAAAUAUUUUUCACCAGCCGCCACUGAACAGCAGUAAAUGUUUUGUUUAUCCACAGAUAUUAGCUAAUAGCUCAUCAUCAUGUUCCAAAUUUAGCUUUAUUUCUCUAAAAUGACUUAAGUCAAAGAGCCAUCUACAACAGGUAACCUUCAAAUAAAAAGAAUAUUUGAAUCAAUUUUCUGGUUAUCAAAAUGACUACAAAGACGCAAUUAGCAGUUUUGUGAUUGAUGUGCUAACACCCACAUGAAAAUCCUUCUCAGCCCUGAUUGAAAGCUAUUAGAACAUUAGCAGAAUGCGAUGAAAGACCUGUGUUGUAAUCUAAGAAUUUUAAUGGCCUUUUUAUGAGCAGAGUUCCUGAGAGGUUAGACGUGUCCUCUCCUCUGCAUGUGGAGCAGAAACUCCUUUAGAUUUUUUUCUUUUUUUUUUUUUUGCUUGCGAUUGCAGGAUUUCUUGCUGCUGUGUGGCUCUUUGGGGCUUCUUGGUUCUGACUUGUGAUUGUUACAUUUGAGCUUCAGGAUAUUUCUUUUACAUCAGCAGUUGUACAUAUGUGUGCAUGUUUUACUGCACCCUCAGCACACAACACAAACAAUACAUAUUCUAACCUUUGUGUUUAGUCACUGAUCUGGUCAUGAGACAUAGUCGUUCAGUUUUGCUGCCGGUUGAUUCUUGGAGAUAAUGGGAGGUCAUGGGUCAUCUGAGGAGGUGCGGGUGAAUAUUUGACUUGAGCUAAACUCUGACAUGUGGUCUUUGUAAGUAGAAAUGAUAACGUUUAGGAAGCAGAUUUGUGAAGCUUUAUGAUUUGUAACCGCAGCUGAAUUUUCAGCACACUUUACUCCUGUUUUAUAACCAUUCAGCAAUUUUUGUGAGCUAGAAAACUUAAGGAAUAGGUGCAAGAAAAAAGGCUGAUACCUCCUGAAAAUUCAACAAAUUUGAUGUUUAGUCACUGCAAAUCAUCUAGAAAGUUGCAGAGCUGGCAUCCAACAAAUUUAACCACUGUUUUUAUGGUCUUCGUUUAAAAGAAAUCUCACCUACACAGAAACACAAUUCACUUCUAGCCUUUAGUGAAAAAGAAUAUCCACUUUUUCUGAAAAGGAUUGAAACAUUUAACUUGUUCUUCACUUUGAUUAGAUAAAAAACUUCUAUAAUUGUUAAACUUGACUAUCGAUUCUUAUCCUUAUUCAAUGUUAAACGUGUUUCUGUUUAAUUUGAAACACAAUUGGCUUUUCAUUUUUCUUACGAAUGGAAAGAUGGUAAAGUAUUUUGACAAAUACCAAAACUCUUCUCACAUAUUCACUGUGUGACUCUGUUAUGUGAUUUACAGUUUUAAUUUGGGCACAAUAAUAAAGUUCAAUAAAGCAAAAUCACAAUCUGUGGAAGCGCAAACCACUAAAUAUGCUCUCCUCUGAGAAUUUGCUCAGUAGAUGAUUUAUUUUUAUUUUCUAUUUGCAUAUUUCCGGUGAAUAACUAUUUCUCUUUUCAAAUACUAAAUGUCUUAUAAACAUUUCUUUUUUCUCUUUUUAUAAAACAGAAGACAAAACCCUUUUGGCCACCUACAGAUACAGUCAUUCUGUCAGACCGGUCGGCUGGAGACGGGAGUUGAGCUUGUGGAGAGCAUGGUCUCACAGAUGCGGAAGUGAUAGCGUCGGUGAAACGCCAGCUCUCGGUUUAAUCUAGGAA